GACAGAGGUCCCGAGCGUUAGGCGGAAUCACUGGGCUUAAAGCGUGUGUAGGCGGAGUGCUAAGUACCUUGUGAAAUCCCACGGCUCACCCGUGGAACUGCUUGGUAUACUGGUUCUCUUGAGCCACCUAGGGGCGAGCGGAACAAACGGUGGAGCGGUGAAAUGCGUAGAUAUCGUGUGGAACGCCAAUGGUGAAAACAGCUCGCUGGGAGUGUGCUGACGCUGAGACACGAAAGCCAGGGGAGCAAACGGG
rnacentral:rRNA from 1 species